AAGCAGACAUCAAAAGAGCCCAACCAAACCCUUCCCAUCCUGCACCUGAGAAGAAGAAAACAACGCCCAUGAAGCCUGCAGGCAGUGAAGGGAAUCCUUGCACUGCUGUUUGUGGCCGACCCUACAGGGACAGGGUGAUUCAUUUACUUGCUCUGAGGACGUACAAGAAGCCAGAGUUACUCGCCCGCUUGCAGAGAGAUGGAGUCAGGCAAAAGGACAAGGGUACCCUUGGCAAGAUCCUCCAGCAGGUAGCCAACCUGAAUCUAAAGGAUAAUUCCUACAGUCUGAAGGAACAUCUCUUUCAAACCCUUCAGACUGAUUGGCCUGGCUACACUGAAAUGGAGAGGGAGAAUUUGAAGUUAAUACUUGCUAGGUAAGUUCAGUCUUUAGAGGAAGGAAAAGAGACUUUUCAGAAAAAAACACCCUGGGAAAUGAAGCCUGAGCUUGUUAGAAUAUGCUGAGUCAGCAGACACCCAUCAGGGUCAUGGAGUCCAACUCCUGGCCCUGCACAGGACACCACAAGAAUCACACCCUGUGCCCAAGAGUGUUGUCCAAAUGCUUCUUGAGCUCCUGCUGCAGUGACCACUGGCCAGGAGAGCCUGUUCCAGUGCUCCAGCACCCUGUGGGGCAAGAACAUUUUCCUGAUCUCCAGCCUAAAGCUCCCUCAGCUCAGUUUCAUGCUUUUUCCUUGGGUCCUGACACUGAAAAUCUGUUUUACCUGUAACAAAAAAAGAUAACAGUUGAUAUUUAUGCCUUGUAACCUGAAAUGUUUGACCACCCUUACAGCAAAUCAGCUCCAUCUCAAAACACCACCAGCAGCAGCCAAGUGCCAUCUCCUGAGCCUUCUGAGAGAGAUGCUCCAGCAAGAUCUGCUCAGAAACGGCCUCUGGCUCCUGACUUUACCAGUCCUGUGAAGAGCAAGAAGAGCCGAACUGGUCACCAGCAAUUCACCAGUCACAUCCAGCCAGCAGCUGGAGGCCUCUCUUCUUCCUGGGUGCUGCCUUCCACAUCCCUUUUUACUGGGAACAUGUCUCCAAGUGUUGGCUCCAUUUCCCCCUGCAUCCAUGAGGUGCACAAGAAAGACAACUUCCAGAGGUCUAGCAUCCCAGAGCCUGCCAGGGUGCAGGAGGAGAUCCCCAAUUCAAUCGGGAAGAAAAAUGAAUUGGGAAGGCUGAAGCAGGCACAUCCUUUGGAUUUCGAUGAAGGAACAAGAAAAGACACUUCCAUUGUCUCCACAUGCUCUGCAACAACCAACCAAGCAGACUACCUGAGGUGAGUAAAAUAGCAAUUAAGCCUUGCCACUCGCAGUGGGGUGCCAUGUGAAGCCCUUCCCAGUUUUGAAAGGAUGAUGUUGAGCAGGUUUUGCUGUGCCUCCAAGGCCAAGAGCUGAGAUGAACCCCGAGGUGGGUUCGGCCCGGCCGGGCCCUCCCUUCCUGCAGUGCAGCUGCACAGGGUCAGCUGCAGCCGUGGGGCUGCAUCCCCCCCUGGGAUUUGCAGU
rnacentral:lncRNA from 1 species